AUGUGUGUGUGUGUGUGUGUGUGUGUGUGUAGAGUGGUGAGUUUAGAGCUGGAGGUUUUUGUACAGCCACUGAAUGAGUUUGUAUCACUGUGGUGGACCUUCGGUGGAGGAACUAAACUGGAAGUUGGACGUGAGACUCCUCCCACUCUUACAGUCCUGCCCCCGUCCAGUGCAGAGCUGGAGCAGGGGGAGGUCACACUGCUGUGUGUGGGCAGCGGGGGCUUCCCCUCAGACUGGAAGCUGAGCUGGAAGGUGGGCGGCAGCAGCUGGAGCUCGGGGGUCCGUCACAGCCCCGCUCUUCUGAAGAAGGACCACGGCCUCUACAGCUGGAGCAGCACCCUGACCCUCCAGCAGCAGCAGUGGAUGAAGAACACAGUGACCUGUGAGGCCACCAAGAACUCCCAGUCUGUAGCCAGUAAACCAGUGAGCGCAGACCAGUGCUCUCACCUGCUGUGAACACACACACACACACACACAUACACACUGAUACACACACACACACUGAUAUAGAUACACACACACACACACACACAGAUACACACACACACAGAUACACACACACACACACACACACAGAUACACACCUCUCUACUUCAUUAAAGUCACUGUCUGUAGUUGAACUGUGUGUUAGAUGUGUUUGAACCUGGUUUACUUUGUAUUACUUUUGUCUUUUGCUUUAUUUUCUGUUUGAAUACAAAAUAAAAGUCUUUUUUGAGCUCCUA